rnacentral:rRNA from 1 species
UACGAAGGGGGCUAGCGUUGCUCGGAAUCACUGGGCGUAAAGCGUGCGUAGGUGGUUUGUUAAGUCUGAUGUGAAAGCCCUGGGCUCAACCUGGGAAUUGCAUUGGAUACUGGCAGGCUAGAGUGCGGUAGAGGAUGGCGGAAUUCCCGGUGUAGCAGUGAAAUGCGUAGAGAUCGGGAGGAACAUCUGUGGCGAAGGCGGCCAUCUGGACCAGCACUGACACUGAGGCACGAAAGCGUGGGGAGCAAACAGGA